rnacentral:rRNA from 1 species
GUCUUCCUACGGGCGCAGCAGUGGGGAAUAUUGCACAAUGGGCGAAAGCCUGAUGCAGCAACGCCGCGUGAAGGAAGAAGGGUUUCGGCUCGUAAACUUCUAUCAACAGGGACGAAAGAAAUGACGGUACCUGAAUAAGAAGCCCCGGCUAACUACGUGCCAGCAGCCGCGGUAAUUCGUAGGGGGCAAGCGUUAUCCGGAAUUACUGGGUGUAAAGGGUGAGUAGGCGG